AACUGUCUCUUCAGUGUUCUUCGGAUUUCAUUUUUGUCCUUACUCAAUCUCUUUUGCAUGAUUUCUCUUUUGACAUUAAUUUAUUUCUUAUAUUUAUUUUAAAUUUUUUGGAUCCCAAAAUUAAUUUUUAAUGAGAUAGGUAGCUAAAUCUUUCUGGAAUUUGAUAGAAUUUAGUUCAUCAUGAAAUAUUUUCAUCUCUCAUGGCCAAGAGAUACUUACAAAUUAAUACAAGUAUAUAUCCACCUUAUACAAAAUUCUUGUAACUUUUAUUUUCUGUUCUUACGUUGGAUUAUAGGGAUUAGGUACUUUAUCCCAAAGCAUUGCCCAAGGUGUAACUAUAGAAAAUAUUGUAGACAGCUUUAGUAACUUUAAAGGAAAAUUCGACUUGAUUUGGCAUUAAUCUCAUGUUCCACAUCUGCUAAAUUCGACUUCCAUGCCCAUUAGACUACUAAAUCCUCCGUUAAAUUUGCCAAACUACAUUGGAUAGGCCGAAAGCAAUAUCACAACUCAAAAUCCUUCAAUAUAACUGCGCAAAGCGAGAAUUAUAAGAAAGAAGAAGUUUUUUGAGGAACUGCUAUGGAUAGAGGGGGAAAAGGAGAAACAAAGAUCAUUGCUCAACGCCUUUCAAUAGACGUGACCCGAGGCAGAAGCAUCUCAAAAAAUGCAAAACGAUGUUCGUGAUCCAAAGGAUAUAUUCAAUUGCUAUGCAAAGAGCUGGUAAUCAAUAAAGUGAUUUCCUUGAACUUGUCUAUAUGUUACCUAAGUGUGAAAAUCAUGGAGGUUCCUAAGAACUCUUUAGAGCUUUCAAACUGAUGAAGCCUUUGCACUGGGAAAAAAAAGGUUUUCCCCAUAAGCUAUUGCUUAUACAGCUUUAUCUGAAGGAUAUGACAGAGAUGCCCCACUUGUUACGGCUUUAAACAGUUUUCUUCAAAGAUGAUACAAAUAGAAGUAAGUGUGAAUGAGGUAAUUAAAAAUUUCAGUCAUAAUGUUAUACCAAUUAAGGCUCUGUUGCUUUUCCUGGGAAUGGAGAUGAGACAAGCAGAAGGAAGAGUAUAAGGUAAGACACUUUUUAUUCAUUAUUUCUUUAUCUUUAUUAUUAGGAAAGCUAUAUAUGCCUAUUAUUUAUGAUUGAGGUAUAAAAAUAAUGGCCUGCAAACUCUCUGACUUUCAUGAAGCAAAAUAAUGAUUUCCAACUUCACUGAUGUCCAAUCAAAUAUUUAGGUAUAUUACAAGUUUGAAUUGAUAUAGACCUUGAGAUUUUUAGUAGCAUGAACUUGCGGCUUUUUAUGUUAUUUGAAAGUUCACGGUUAGAAAACAAAUGGUUUAUUGUAGAAAAAAUUAUUUUUUUAUUGUUCAACUAUACUUACUUAUCUAUAGUAAUUUAAAUAUUAGUUAUCUCAAUGGAUACUAAUUUGAUUCUUCUUAUUAGCGUAAAUUAGAGACUGAGAGGACUCAAGAUUUGCCUUUUUCAAGGAAAUUAGGGUCCGUGGCAUUUUGCACCCUUAAUGUGUGCUCUUUUUUUCAACUUGCACUCUAUCCUAUUUUUUUUUAUGAUUUAAACCCCAAUCUCUUUAUUUCCUUGCAAAACAAUAAAUUCACCCUUUUUAUAAAUUUACCAUGAGGGCAAAAUAGGAAUACAAAUAAUAUAUCUUUUUUUCCUUCAAUUUAUUUAUUUUAUUAGAACUGCAAAAACAAUAAAUUUUAUUUUCAAAGCUCUUUUUUAUUUUUUUAUUUUAAGUGAUAUUUCUCUAUCAAUAGUUGCUAAACAUUUGGAGUUCUUAUUGUUACAAGUUUGUCGCUUUUCCUUUAUAAUUUAAUUACUACUAAUUUAUAAAGGAAAAACGACAAACUUGUAACAAUAAGAACUUCAAAUGUUUAGCAACUAUUGAUAGAGAAAUAUCACUUAAAAUAAAAAAAAAUAAAAAAAAGAGCUUUGAAAAUAAAAUUUAUUGUUGUUGCAGUUCUAAUAAAAUAAAUAAAUUGAAGGAAAAAAAGAUAUAUUAUUUGUAUUCCUAUUUUGCCCUCAUGAAAAAUUUAUAAAAAGGGUGAAUUUAUUGUUUUGCAAGGAAAUAAAGAGAUUGGGGUUUAAAUCAUAAAAAAAAAUAGGAUAGGGUGCAAGUUGAAAAAAAGAGCACACAUUAAGGGUGCAAAAUGCCACGGACUCAAGGACUGCGAAGGUCUACCUUUAAAAUGAAAUUUUGUGUUACUUUAAUUUAGAUAUGCAUAUAUAGGCUUAUCUUAUCAUUAUACUUGACUUCUACUGAUGCUUAGGUGUGAUAAAGACUCUUAAUGAGAUAGUCUCCCUAUUACCAUAUUCAGAGCAUAAGGACAUAAUGCAUCUCAUACCAUACUUUCAUCUAACAUCUGUAUAAGUAGAGUGAUCAAAUGUUUGAACCUUCUCUCUGUAAGAAUACUUUUCCUUUGUCUUGAAACCAUAGACCUAACUUCUGUCAAUAAUUUAAUAAGAAUGAUGCUGAUAGUGAAAUAAAUUGCUAAUGGUUGGCCAAAAGAACAAUAGAUAAUAUUUUCAUAUUCUACUUUUAUUGCACAUCAUUCUUAAUAUGUGUUGCUUUUUGGAACUCGGUGUUUAACAUUAGAUAAUGCAUUCGAAGUAUUUGACAUGGUCAGUGGUAGAGCCAGAAUUUUCAAAUCAUGGGUGCUCAAAUGCGUUAAAUCUCAAAAUGCUACUUUGAGAUUGGGUGCUCAACCAAUAAUUUUUGUAUGUUAGUAAUAAUUUCCAAUAUAAAAGGUAGUGUUUGAUAAACCACAAUGGGUGCUCAAGCACCCACUAGCUACACUGUACGUCCGCCACUGGAUAUGGUUAUGUCUUACUACUAAUUGUUCAUGGCUUAUGCCAUAUCAAAAUAGCCAACCCUGACCCAUCAGGUCUCCUACGUAACAUGUUAUGACUCUUAAUAUUUCUUUAAUGAACUUCUCAUGGCUUCGGUUAUCAAAAUUUUCUGAUCCAUAGCAUUAAACUUUUUGUUGUCUCUUAUCAAAUUGAAUCUAAACAUAUUUGUUUGUUGUUUCUUUUUUUGUGACUUAUUAUCUUUACCAUGUGUAUGAAAAGAUGACGGAUCCGAAAAUUUUGAAAUGGAAGCAAUUGAAAGAUGUAAGAAUAUUUCACCCUCUCUAAAUAUUUAUAGCUUAGCCUACCCCAACAGAGACAUCUCCAGUAUGUCUUUCCCGCAAAUCACCAAAAUAAAUGAGCUUUAUAUGCAUGUAUAUAUGGCAAUCUGAGAUAUUAUAAUGCGUGUUCAUGGUGAAAGUGUUAAAUUUUACAUGUUAUUUAUGCAGGUUUUGAUAAGCUCACCUCUGAAGCUAUAUCCAGAAAGAAGUGUUUGCACAAACUUAAUUGAUGCUGUUAAGAUGAAGCAUAAGCCAUCCUAUUCUCAUUAGCCAAAUCACUUGACAAACUCUGUAAAGGGCUGAUGUGAGUCGUGUUUAAUUUUUUAAAAGGUGGCUACUCCCUUACUAGGUGAACUUUUUAUUUGUAUGAAUCUAUGAAUAUAAAAUUAGCUAUAACAACUUGGUUUAUAUUUAUCUAACCUUCGGAUGUGUGUUAUUAUCUUCUUAACAAGGGUAAGUCGUUUUGGACGACGAAGGGUAUUUCAGUAAAUCUGAACCUCUUUAUGGCUAAAUGUAAGCUUGUCUGUCAGCCUUAGAAAAUAAACACUGUCCUACUAGAAGUCCCACUCUCAAUUUCUUACCGUGUUCCCUCUUUCAUUCACCGCUUCUCUCCUAUAUUAGCAUAUGUGUAGCUGGAUUCUGUCAAAGUUUAUUCAUUUUGUGGAUUUGUUGCAUUUGUAAAGGUUGUCUGGUUGUCUCUGGUUCGAGCUCUCAGUUGUGGUAAGUUUUUUCUCCACAUAAUCUUCUCUUAUUGCAUGUUUUUGUGGGUAAAUUUUUUAUAGAUUCUUACAUGCGUAUCAAUAUUUUUGUGUGAUCUGCACAUGCAUGUCUAGAAAUUGAUACUCCAAUUCGUGAUUUUUUGCGUAACUAUUAUAUGAUGUCUUUUGAUUAAUUGUCUAAUGGCUAUUGCUUCAGAAAUUACUGACCAAAAUCCCCUAAUGGCGUUUUUUCAGUAUUCUUUUUUUGGUGCAAAUUAUUACUACAAAAUUAGUCAUGUCUUAGAGAAAAACUGAGGUCUUUUGCUAACCCUUGUUAUGUGCCAACUUCUGAUAAUUAGGUGAUACCUCAAGCCUAGGUUUUUCCCUACAAAGAUGAAGAACCAUUUUGCUUGAGGGCAACCCCUAUUUGGAUUUAUCUAUUGAGACAUCAACUCAUUUUUUCCCUGGGAGUAAUCUUCUUAAACAUAUGGGAUUCAGGAAUGGUAUCUUGAUGAUAUGCAACAAAGGAAUAAAGAUGGUAAAUGAAUAUUUAGAAAAACAAAAAAUAAGGAGAGAGCUCACUGAAAAAGUGACCUUUUUCCUCUUUUUGUUGUUCAUGUUAAAUAACUGUGUAAUUAUAGUGUUAGUGAAUAUUUUGAUUUUUAAUGCUUGAGGGAGGUAAAUAUGUAAGCUGCAUUAUAUUCAUGAACCAAUUAAUGAGUCAAAGAGGUUUAAACUUGGCAAGCAGUCAAAAGUAUUGUUUAUGUCUUUUCUUAGUCCCUUUGGAAGUCGACCAAAUAAAUAAAGCACAAAAAUUAUGUGCUGCUAAUCGGCUACGACCAGAGCAACUGAUUCUGAAUGGUGUUUCUUUGAAGCCCAAUGAGAUGGCGGAACUUCUUGAGUGCACUUUACUCCCUCAAAAGUUGCUCGAAUCCCGGAAGUUAUUGUCGUGACAAGGAAUCUGGAC